rnacentral:lncRNA from 1 species
UUUAAAUAUUUUUUUUUAAAUUGUUGAUUCCAUAUACGAUAAAUCCCCUUUAAAUGACUGCUUAAAAUUUUAGUAACUACUGAUUAAACAAGUAGAAAUUAUGUGGCUAAUGUUUUAUGGUAGACAAAACUUGUCCUUUAUAGAAAAGCAACCUGAAUGUGAAAUGAUAUUAAUAAAGAAGCUAAAAAUUACAGAACACUAAUGUUAACUCUGAGUAGCAAUGAUGUUCAUUUGUUCAAACCAACUAUAUAGUUUUAUUUUCUGAUUUACUUGACUUAACCCCUUACCAAAUCUUUGUCAUCUCUAGAACUUUAAACAUUAUACACCAGAUAACAUAAUGGAUUUUAUCACAAUGAUUAAAUUGAUGGUAUCUAGUCUAGUCAUUUGUUUUCCAACUGUAAAGCUUUUCUUAUCCAGUGGGCAAUUUAAAAUAAUCUGAACUUCAGAAAGUUUUUUUCUAAGAUUUUAAUAUUUUAAAAAACAUUCUUAUAAAAUGAACAUUUGCACAGCACAAAUGUUAAGGGUACAGAUUCUCGAGAUUUUGAGAUUGUCUCGGUUUAAAUUCUGACUCUAUCACUUAUUACCUGCAGGGGUAUGCACUGAAUUAAAAUGUCAAGUAUUCUUAAUUGAAUUCUUUUAUUGGGCUUAUUUGCAUUAUUUUCCUUUAAUUUUAACUUAUAUCCUAUAAAAUAAAAAUAAACAUUACUAAAUAUGCUCUUUAGAUUAGGAACAGGUUAGUUUCACAAACCUGAAAUGAUAUUAUACAGUAGGGAUCCAUGUCCAUCGAGAUUGCAAACAAAUUAUCAAAACACUAUUUCUCAUUUUUUGUAUAUACUUUUUAAGAAAUUUUCAUAUACAUUUUUCUUUAUUCCCUUAAAUUCUUCAACAAAAAUUAACCAUAAAUUCAGCAAACAGUCAAAAACUCAUGGUACUCUUAUCAAAUCUUUGUGUUUUACCAAAGAGUUUACUUUUCAUUGAUUUUGAACUAAAAAGGAAAAAUAAAACCUUCUGUAAUGUGGAAUUAAAAGGGAUUUUUCAAAAACAGCUAGACUGUCAACUUUCUGGUUAAAACCUUGCCUAUUGUUUGAGGAGAAGCAGCAAAAGAAUGCCUAAUUUUCCAAUACCAAGUUAAAGUCAAACAGAAAGAUUAAUUCCUUAUCAUCUUAAAUCCAAUUAAGUAUCUCCCUGGUAGUAAGAGAAACAAUAUUGUCCCAUAGUUAAGUGUUUUGAAUUCAAGCCAGCCUGCUGAGUGUUGCCUGAAAAAUCCAGACAUCCUGGGUAUAUAAAAUUUAGAAAAUAAUGCAUUAUGGAAACAAUGCAUAAUGUUAAGUGCCUUUAGUGAAGCCAGUGCUAUAAUAUGAUGACAUUAAAGUACCCAUAGUUUCUUAAUAUAUAAUGACAACAGAUUAAAGUCAAAAUUGUAUAAUCCUUGAUAAAACUAAGGAGAAGUAAUGUUUAGGAAAUAUGACAUGCAAACAAUCAGCAAAUAAACAACAAAAGCACCACAUAUAUGUAAUUCAUGUGUCCCAGCUUCCUGUAUUAUUUUGUACUAACUUUGUUGUUAUUCUCUAUGUGAAUAAAUGUGCAUCCUAAUGAAUAUCCUCUUUAAUGUUUCUAUGUAGUGACUUUCACAAAGGAAAAAUAAUCUUGACGUGUUCUCAAUACAUUAACGGGGUCAUGAGAGUUAGCCAUGGAGCAAAUAUUUUAUUAGAAAAGCAAGUGAGUCAUAUUUAUUAGAGUGUGGCAUUAAAUUAUUAUAAUGUUUAUAAUGGAAAAGGUAAUAUGAAGAUAUAACCACUGUUUCAAGCUAUUAACAAACUUUCAUUAUUAUUCUUUAUUCAAUUUCCUACCCUAAUUUAGUUUUCCAACUGUAGAAAUGAUUCUUAGACUUAAAAGCUUUCAUACCAAAUCCAAACACAAAGGAGAAAAGAGCCACAAUACUAAACCAAAAGGAGUUUCUUUUUUACUUACUUCUGCCAUUCUUCAGUGUGAAUAGGCAAGAUAAUGUGAACUAUUUUUAUUAAGAAAACCAGAUAAUGAUUUAGAUGAAAAAAAACAGACUGUUCUCUUAGUCAUAAAAGCAGAUCACUGAUCUAAUAGUUUUGUCCUUAGCUCUCAUAAACAGUAGGGGUAUGCAUUCAUCUUCACAUUUGUAUUGUAUGAAAGGGCUAAAAUGAAGUUUUUUUUUCUCACUGCCUAUGUAUUUUUUUCUCCUUACACUUUCAUGUAGGAUUAUCACUCAUUAAAAUAGAAGUAUGUUUUUUCUCUGUAUGUGUUUGGGAAAAAAAUACUAUUACAACACAUGUAAAAAAGAAAGUUAACAAUAUAUAGUAUAUUCAUUUAAAUUAAUUUAAGGAUUAUGGGCAGUAAAUGCCAUAUUUGAAAGAUGAUAUAUGAAAGUCUAAGUUUUAUAACUUGCUUAAAGUCACACAGCAAAACUCUCUACAAUUUAGGACAUCAGUUCCUGUUUCCCAAAUAAGGCUUAUGUUUACAGACCACCAUGCCACAAAAAUAUGAUAAACAAAUCAAAUUAAAACUAUAUAUUUCAUUUAUCAUGACAUAUAUUUCUAUAUGAAAGAUAUUAGAGCUUAUUCAUUUAUUCAAUAGGAUACUGACAGACUCUCAUUGCUGCUGAUACAGACAAGUUCUUUCUGUCAUGAAACAUAUUUAGUGAGAAAAAAAAGAAUAAACAAAUAAUUAAAUAAGAUAUAUUUUAGAUAUUAAUAACAAUAUAAUACAAUCGUGGAAAUGUAUUUCAGUACAAUGUAGAGUUAUGAAAGAAGGUAUUUUCAGAAGGACAGUCAAUGGAGAACUUACUAAUGUAGUGAUAUUUGAAGUUAAAUGGUAAUACUGGCAGGAACUGAACAUAUCUGUUUGGAAAAGGAGAGUCAGAGACAAAAGUGAAUAGCUACUGCACACAUUUGGUUAUAAUGCCUAAAGAAUCUGCUGAUAUAUGUGCUAUUGUGGGCUAAGUAAAGAAUCAAAAAUUACUCUAUAUCUUUGGUUUGAGCAACCUAACUGGAGCUAUGGACAUGCAGAACUCACAGAAAGAAACGGCUUGGAGAGGAAAAAUACUAUGGGGAUUCAGUAGCUCUGGUUUGAAUUUAUGAAGUUUCAGAUGUCUAUGCAAAUGGACAUAUUAGGUAGGCAGUUGGAUGAGGGUUGCAGGCACCAAAAUAAAGACAAGGGAGAGGAAUUGAGAUCACAUGAGGAGAUUUAAAGUGAGAAAAGAUCAGGGUUCAUGAUUAAACCUGACUCUACCAUUGGAAAAAACUCAGAAAAGGAGAUUGAAAAGGAGUAGCUAGUAAGGAAAAAGGGAAGGGAAGGAUAUUAAUAUGUCUUGGAAGAGAAGACACUUCCAAGAAACAAAUUUAUUAACUGCAUCAAAUUCUGCUAUAAAGUCACAUAAAAUUGAAUGUUAUCAUGCAUGCUGAAAAUAUGAGGGUCUUUUGUAAUCUUGGUAGACCUGAUAAAUGUACAGUUGUUGGAAUUCUAGAAAUGAGAAGUUUAAGACUGAAAUACAACACAAUCUUGUGAAUACUGGUAAAAAAAAAUUAUAUGGUAUCUUGACAUCACCAUGGGAUAGAGAAAAAUAUGUUUUUCAUUUUUCAAUGAAAAAUGCCAGACUGUGAUUUUAUACUGAUAAAACUGAUCCAUAGGUGAGAGGAAAGACAUGAUUCAGGAUAUUCACACAAGUAAAAUGCUCUGAAAAGAGGAAAAUAUUUGGAUUAUGAAAAAAUGAGCCUCCCAAAGAACAGAGAUACAGAGUAAGCUAUAAGACUUAACCAGAGAAUAUCAUUAAAUACAAAUAGCGACAUAUUAGUACUGAAAAGUUCCUAUAUAAUUGAUCCUAUUUUUUUCAAUUUGUUCAGUCUUUCAAUAUGUAUAUUUUAAGGCAAGCUAUGUGGAGAAGGAAGUGAAAAAAAACACAUGCAUGUCAUAUAGCCUACUUUCCAAUGUGAGGAAUAUGUAAUGAAAAUAAUAUUUAAUGCUAUAUGAGCUUGUGAGAAAUGUUAGGAAGAAAAAUAAAGCACAGUUAAGAGGACAGUGAUGGAAUUGCCACUUUAUACACAAUGACCAAAGAAGGCCCCACAAUGGGGAUGGCAUUCAAACACUAAAUAAUGCUGUAUAUUAUGUGGGAGACAGUGUUUAAAAAGAACAAGCAGGAAAUACAAGGCCAAUGAGGUCCCCUUAGUCUGCUGUUUUCAAGAACAGCAGAGAGGUUGCUGUGUUGCAGCAGAAGCAGAGUGGAAAAGACUGGUAGGAAAUGCAGUCUGAGUGGUAGUAAGAAGGAAAUUCAUUCUAAGUUUUAUAGGUCAUACAAAUAUAUAUUUUAGUGAAAUUCAAUUGGGAAAACAAGGAAACUUUUGAGCAAAUUAAAAGAACUAUCUAAUGUAUAUUUUUAAAAAAUUUCUAAGACCUCUGAAUGAGAAUAUUCUUUAAGAGGGGGAAGUCAAAGCCAGGUGAAUAGGUAAAGGAUCUAGAGCAGAUAAUUAAUCAGAGAAAAUAGCUGUAGGUAAAGGAAGUUAUGAAAUCUAAUGUCGUGGGAGUUCCCGGGUUGUGGCACAGUGGAAAUGAAUCAGACUAGUACCCAUGAGGAUGCAGGUUCGAUCCCAAGCCUUGUUCAGUAGGUUAAGGAUCCAGCAUUGCCAUGAGGUGUGAUGUAGGUCACAUACACGGCUCGGAUCUGGCCCUGUUCUGGGUGUGGUAUAAGCCAGUAGCUGGGGGUCCAACUGGACGCCUACCCUGAGAACUUCCAUAUGCCAUGAGUGUGGCCCU